rnacentral:rRNA from 1 species
GACGUAGGGCGCGAGCGUUGUCCGGAUUUAUUGGGCGUAAAGAGCUCGUAGGCGGCUCGUUGCGUCGGCUGUGAAAACCCGCAGCUCAACUGUGGGCUUGCAGCUGAUACGGGCGGGCUUGGAUUCGGUAGGGGAGACUGGAAUUCCUGGUGUAGCGGUGAAAUGCGCAGAUAUCAGGAGGAACACCGGUGGCGAAGGCGGCAUCCUGGACCGGCAUUGACGCUGAGGCGCGAAAGCCAGGGGAGCAAACGGG